UCGUUCUGGCUCAACGUGUGUGCGGCCUCUGAAGCAGAAUUUAAAAUUUCCAGUGGUGUUACAUUUUCCUCCACAAGAGGGAGAUGUCCUUUGCUUGAUGCUCUCAUGAAAAGGAGAGAACAUGAUUUUGAGACGUGAUCAGGGCAGCAGAAUCAGAGCGAUCUGGAUGGUAGAGGUACAUGCUGGCCUAUUGACCUCACUCCAUAUGUCUCAGCUAUUCUUCCCCAGAAAUGAGCAUGGACUUACACGGAUCUGAGGAGGAAGUUACUGAUGCUGCAGCAAUUCCAGUUGACCCAAAAUAUACAUGGAAAAUAUCCUAUAAUUUACCUCAUGGCUGAAGGUGAGAAUGAGUAGAGCAAGAAAUCGAGGGUUCAUUCUUGUUCCAGAGACCAUGCCAUGGAGUCAUUGAAAACGGGUAAAAAGGACUUCAACCAGACCCAAGGAGUUCAUCUCCAUGGCAGGAUCAAAUCUGUUCCUGACAGAGAACCUCAUCUCCAAAUCAUCAUGGAAGAGACAGUUUGUGGUACUGGAAUAAGUAAGACAGUGGUACUGAAAUAAGUCUCUAGAGUGGAUCCACUUCUCUAUGUGCUUUUCUGUCUGCACUAUAUUUACUUCUUACAGGAACUUGUACAAAGUGCAGAUUUGCCAGAGAGUGGCGAAGGCCUCUGAUAGCCCUCACCAACACAUCAUUUCCACCAGCAGGCCUUUCUUAGCCCCGUGCAGACUCCAUUUGUCUGGGGGCUAUUCCUGCAUAGUUACUGAGGAAGGCAGCGAAUUCCAAUGAUGAAACAAAUCUUGCUACCAGCACUAGCUCUGUCCUACGACCAUUUUAUACAGUGCAUUCCCAGGCUAGCAGAGCUUUUUCAGUGCAAUCAUCACAGGAACAUUCUGCAGCUCAUCCAGCAGAGUCCAUCAAAGUGGUGCUGUCUUCUCCUUUCUAAAUUGCCUUUUCCCUCUGGCUGUUCUCCUCCCUUACUAGGCAGUUUGCAAUGAAACUUCUUUACCUGUUUAUCCUUUGUUUCUUGUUCAUUCCUCCUUGCUGCUGUCCUGAUCAUGGCCAGCUGUCACACAAUUCUCCAUCCUGCCAUAUUUCAUCCUUCCUCCUCCCUAUCUUCCAUGUUACUAUCUCCUAUGUUAAUAAACUCUCUGGGAUCUGGAAAUCUGUUCAGUGUUUCACAUUGUAUUGCACUUGUGGUUACUACUGACUGGUGCAAAACUAUUGUGUGUAACACUCACAGUCAUCCUAAACUAGACGCAAGUCCAAAAGUUCACCGUUUCAUUGUAUAUUGACAAACAUUCAGCUAGAAAGUGUCCCAGACUUGCUGUAACCCUGACUUCACACCAUGGCACUAACAAAUUGCCCCAACUGAGCAAUCUGUUUCCACCAGUGAGUAUGCUGCUUCAAAAGCAUAGAGAAGCCCUGUUGCAUCACAGAAUAUGUCUAGAUACAUUUAAAGCUGCGAUUGCACAACUACUGCCAAGACUUUCACAACAGAUAAUAUGAACAACAACAACAAAAAAAAUCAGGUACUGGGGUGA